UAGGGCUGAGCUCAGUGGCAGAGUGCUUGCCUGGCACAGGAGACCCUGGGUUUGAUCCCCAGAGCUGCAA
rnacentral:tRNA from 1 species